ACUUUUUAUAUAGUUGCAUUUCAGAAUCCACAAACACAUAGAACCCAAUCACAGCUCACCACAUUCAUCACUGCUUUUUUGUUUUCUACUCUUAUUAUUGCUUCCUCUUUCAUUAGAAAAAUAAAAAUUACCCUAUUUUGUUUUCAAGUUUCAUUUAGCUAUGCCUCUUUCUCUUUCAACUUUCUUUUAUUUUUCAAUCUUUUCCAAUUAAAGCACCCAUUUUCCUUUUUUAUGUCUUGUUUUUUCUCUCUAUUUUUCUUUCCCUUUUCUUUCUUGCCCAACAUCAAGGAAAAGUUAAUACUAGUACUCCUCCAAUUAACACAAAAAAAAAAAGGCUUUUUUUUCAUCUUUUCUCCCUCUCUCUCUCUUCUUAAACAAGCCUUCAUUUUUUUCUUCUUCCACUUCUUCAAAUCAACCCUUCAUAAAUUCUGA